rnacentral:rRNA from 1 species
CCUACGGGAGGCUGCAGUGGGGAAUAUUGGACAAUGGGGGCAACCCUGAUCCAGCCAUGCCGCGUGUGUGAAGAAGGCCCUCGGGUUGUAAAGCACUUUCAGUGAGGAAGAACGCCUGGUGGUUAAUACCCAUCAGGAAAGACAUCACUCACAGAAGACGCACCGGCUAACUCCGUGCCAGCAGCCGCGGUAAUACGGAGGGUGCGAGCGUUAAUCGGAAUUACUGGGCGUAAAGCGCGCGUAGGUGGCUUGAUAAGCCGGUUGUGAAAGCCCCGGGCUCAACCUGGGAACGGCAUCCGGAACUGUCAAGCUAGAGUGCAGGAGAGGAAGGUAGAAUUCCCGGUGUAGCGGUGAAAUGCGUAGAGAUCGGGAGGAAUACCAGUGGCGAAGGCGGCCUUCUGGACUGACACUGACACUGAGGUGCGAAAGCGUGGGUAGCAAACAGGAUUAGAUACCCUGGUAGUC